UACGGAGGGGACUAGCGUUGUUCGGAAUUACUGGGCGUAAAGCGCACGUAGGCGGCUUUCUAAGUCAGGGGUGAAAUCCUGGAGCUCAACUCCAGAACUGCCUUUGAUACUGGAGAGCUUGAGUCCGGAAGAGGUGAGUGGAACUCCGAGUGUAGAGGUGAAAUUCGUAGAUAUCGAGAGGAACACCGGUGGCGAAGGCGGCUAUCUGGACAGUGACUGACGCUGAGACGCGAAAGCGUGGGGAGCAAACAGG
rnacentral:rRNA from 1 species